ACGGCAGCGGGGGGAAGCUUGCUUCCCCGCCGGCAAGUGGCGGACGGGUGAGUAAUGCCUGGGGAGCUGCCCAAUCGAGGGGGAUACCAGUUGGAAACGACUGCUAAUACCGCAUACCCCCUGAGGGGGAAAGGUGGGGAUCUUCGGACCUAUCGCGAUUGGAUGCACCCAGGUGGGAUUAGCUAGUUGGUGAGGUAACGGCUCACCAAGGCGACAAUCUCUAGCUGGUCUGAGAGGAUGACCAGCCACACUGGAACUGAAACACGGUCCAAACUCCUACGGGAGGCAGCAGUGGGGAAUAUUGCACAAUGGGGAAAACCCUGAUGCAGCCUUGCCGCGUGUGUGAAGAAGGCCUUCGGGUUGUAAAGCACUUUCAGUGGGGAGGAAAGGGUGGAAGCUAAUACCUUUCAUCUGUGACGUUACCCACAGAAAAAGCACCGGCUAACUCCGUG
rnacentral:rRNA from 1 species